rnacentral:rRNA from 1 species
UACAGAGGUCCCAAGCGUUGUUCGGAUUCAUUGGGCGUAAAGGGUGCGUAGGCGGCGCGGUAAGUCGGGUGUGAAAUCUCGGAGCUUAACUCCGAAACUGCAUUCGAUACUGCCGUGCUUGAGGACUGGAGAGGAGACUGGAAUUUACGGUGUAGCGGUGAAAUGCGUAGAUAUCGUAAGGAAGACCAGUGGCGAAGGCGGGUCUCUGGACAGUUCCUGACACUGAGACACGAAGGCCAGGGGAGCAAACGGG